rfam:Mycobacterium intermedium strain HMC2_M5 PROKKA_contig000184, whole genome shotgun sequence.
CUUGAUCGAAUACCUGAUUCCGUGAUGAUCAUCCUCGGGAAGGUGCGCCCACUUUCACGCCACCUCAUCAAGGCU